rnacentral:rRNA from 1 species
UACGGAGGGGGCUAGCGUUGUUCGGAAUUACUGGGCGUAAAGCGCACGUAGGCGGCUUUGUAAGUUAGAGGUGAAAGCCCGGGGCUCAACUCCGGAACUGCCUUUAAGACUGCAUCGCUAGAAUUGUGGAGAGGUGAGUGGAAUUCCGAGUGUAGAGGUGAAAUUCGUAGAUAUUCGGAAGAACACCAGUGGCGAAGGCGGCGACCUGGGCGGAUACUGACGCUGAGGUGCGAAAGCGUGGGGAGCAAACAGG